GACGAACGCUGGCGGCGUGCUUAACACAUGCAAGUCGAACGGAAAGGCCCUGCUUUUGUGGGGUGCUCGAGUGGCGAACGGGUGAGUAACACGUGAGUAACCUGCCCUUGACUUUGGGAUAACUUCAGGAAACUGGGGCUAAUACCGGAUAGGAUCUCCUGCUGCAUGGUGGGGGUUGGAAAGUUUCGGCGGUUGGGGAUGGACUCGCGGCUUAUCAGCUUGUUGGUGGGGUAGUGGCUUACCAAGGCUUUGACGGGUAGCCGGCCUGGGAGGGUGACCGGCCACAUUGGGACUGAGAUACGGCCCAGACUCCUACGGGAGGCAGCAGUGGGGAAUAUUGCACAAUGGGCGGAAGCCUGAUGCAGCAACGCCGCGUGCGGGAUGACGGCCUUCGGGUUGUAAACCGCUUUCGCCUGUGACGAAGCGUGAGUGACGGUAAUGGGUAAAGAAGCACCGGCUAACUACGUGC
rnacentral:rRNA from 1 species